UAAUUAAUGCAGAGGCAGGGGUUGAAGUUGAAAUAAAACAAUACUAUUCUUCUCACUCAGCGUUGACCAAGGAAGCAUUGGUUGAACUGCCCCGGUCCCUUCGUUCUCAAGCCACCACAGCCAAAAAGGUUUCACCGAAUCAAAUUCCAACAUCUCCAUCCGCGUGUUCCUUUUCUCUGCACAGCAAACAUUAAACCUCUUUCAUGCUGUCCUCAGACUCCGGUUCAGUGCUCCGACCCAAGCCCCCCAUACCCACCCGCCACCCGGCCCGGUCACUCUUCUCCCCUGCCUGCUUCCGCCCGGGAUCCAGACCCGCCGGGCCCAGACUCCCCCUCAAAAUGGAACUCCUCCGCCGAAUGGGCCGCGGCUGCUUCAGGGCGGAGGCCCACGCCGCCGGCCAGGACGUGUUCGACGCCGCCGCCGCCGCCACGCCCAAGACGGCUCCUCAUCACCUUGUUAUAAUGGUUAACGGAAUCGUUGGGAGUGCUGCUGAUUGGAGAUAUGCUGCAGAACAGUUUGUGAAAAGGCUUCCAGACAAAGUGAUUGUACACCGCAGUGAAUGCAAUUCUUCAAAAUUGACGUUUGAUGGUGUUGAUACAAUGGGCGAGAGACUAGCUGAAGAGGUAUUAUCUGUUGUUAGACGUUGGCCAGAGGUGCAGAAGAUAUCAUUUGUGGCGCAUUCUCUAGGUGGCUUGGUUGCAAGAUAUGCUAUUGGGAGACUUUAUGAUUAUUCUUCAACAUUGGCACUUAUUGGUUCUGGUAGAAACUGUUUCAGUGAAGAGACUGAAUAUUCAAAGCAAUGCCUUGAACAGAGUUAUGAAGCCAAAAUUGCUGGUUUAGAGCCCAUGAACUUUAUAACAUUUGCAACACCACAUCUUGGUUCAAGAGGAAAUAAACAGCUUCCAUUUCUAUGCGGCCUUCCUUUUCUUGAGCGAAGAGCAUCCGAAACUGCACAUUUAGUUGCAGGGAGAUCUGGGAAGCAUCUCUUCCUUAUGGACAAUGAUGAUGGAAAGCGUCCUCUGCUCCUGCGAAUGGUUAAUGACUCUGACGACUUAAAGUUUAUGUCAGCUUUACGUGCAUUUAAGCGUCGAGUGGCUUAUGCAAAUGCUAAUUAUGAUCAUAUGGUAGGAUGGCGUACCUCAUCAAUUCGUCGUCAACAUGAACUUCCAAAGUCCAAUCUUCUUGUAAUUGAUGAGAGAUACCCACACAUUGUUUAUGUUGAAGGAGAGACUGCUGAUGACAUUCACAAUAAAACAUCUUCUAAUAUUGGAGGACAAAUAAUCGACUUAGAAGAGGAGAUGAUAAGGGGGCUCACUCGGGUAUCUUGGGAGCGUGUGGAUGUUAGCUUUCGGAAAAGUAAACAGCGCUACAUUGCUCACAGUACAAUUCAGUGUCUUUCCAGCCACCACCUGCAGUAGUGGCGACCUUUUCAGCCACCACCACUACAAAAUGAUUCGUCAUUCUGCGAUCUACUCAACCCUACAAAUGUUGAGUCCAUACCUGUCCUCAUGCACCUGAACGGGCAUCCUUCAUGCACCAAACAGGCCCUCCCAACAAUGCUUGACAGCGCAUUCAACACUCAUUGCCAGCAAACCUUGUGCUGGUUCAUCCCCCUCAAGUGACCCUAACCCGUGACUUGCAUCACUAUCUGACCUCAUUUGGCAGGCCCGAUAGUGCAAACUACUAUUCAGGACUCAGGUGAAAACAUAUUGGUUGAAUUCUGAUGGUGCUGAUGUGGUUUACCAUAUGAUAGAUAACUUUCUUCUUUAGCCUUUUUGUUAAGUUUGACGUCAUCUAAUCAUUGUUAUGAGCAAUAAUAGUUGUAAUCUAAUCAUAUAUCCCCUAUAUGUCUUGCAACAUAAUGAAUUUGUUGUACAUUGUUGUGGCAUGGGAAGUCGAUAUCUCCCACCUAUGUACAUGACGACUCUUAUUGAGUAAUAAUUGUUCAUAUAUUGAUGUUAUUGAGAAUGUGAUAUGAAAAGGAUGCUAGAUUUUAUUCUGUCUAUA